rnacentral:rRNA from 1 species
CUAAUGUUGAAAAAUUAGCGGAUGACUUGUGGCUGGGGGUGAAAGGCCAAUCAAACCGGGAGAUAGCUGGUUCUCCCCGAAAGCUAUUUAGGUAGCGCCUCGUGAAUUCAUCUCCGGGGGUAGAGCACUGUUUCGGCAAGGGGGUCAUCCCGACUUACCAACCCGAUGCAAACUGCGAAUACCGGAGAAUGUUAUCACGGGAGACACACGGCGGGUGCUAACGUCCGUCGUGAAGAGGGAAACAACCCAGACCGCCAGCUAAGGUCCCAAAGUCAUGGUUAAGUGGGAAACGAUGUGGGAAGGCCCAGACAGCCAGGAUGUUGGCUUAGAAGCAGCCAUCAUUUAAAGAAAGCGUAAUAGCUCACUGGUCGAGUCGGCCUGCGCGGAAGAUGUAACGGGGCUAAACCAUGCACCGAAGCUGCGGCAGCGACGCUUAUGCGUUGUUGGGUAGGGGAGCGUUCUGUAAGCCUGUGAAGGUGUGCUGUGAGGCAUGCUGGAGGUAUCAGAAGUGCGAAUGCUGACAUAAGUAACGAUAAAGCGGGUGAAAAGCCCGCUCGCCGGAAGACCAAGGGUUCCUGUCCAACGUUAAUCGGGGCAGGGUGAGUCGACCCCUAAGGCGAGGCCGAAAGGCGUAGUCGAUGGGAAACAGGUUAAUAUUCCUGUACUUGGUGUUACUGCGAAGGGGGGACGGAGAAGGCUAUGUUGGCCGGGCGACGGUUGUCCCGGUUUAAGCGUGUAGGCUGGUUUUCCAGGCAAAUCCGGAAAAUCAAGGCUGAGGCGUGAUGACGAGGCACUACGGUGCUGAAGCAACAAAUGCCCUGCUUCCAGGAAAAGCCUCUAAGCAUCAGGUAACAUCAAAUCGUACCCCAAACCGACACAGGUGGUCAGGUAGAGAAUACCAAGGCGCUUGAGAGAACUCGGGUGAAGGAACUAGGCAAAAUGGUGCCGUAACUUCGGGAGAAGGCACGCUGAUAUGUAGGUGAAGUCCCUCGCGGAUGGAGCUGAAAUCAGUCGAAGAUACCAGCUGGCUGCAACUGUUUAUUAAAAACACAGCACUGUGCAAACACGAAAGUGGACGUAUACGGUGUGACGCCUGCCCGGUGCCGGAAGGUUAAUUGAUGGGGUCAGCGCAAGCGAAGCUCUUGAUCGAAGCCCCGGUAAACGGCGGCCGUAACUAUAACGGUCCUAAGGUAGCGAAAUUCCUUGUCGGGUAAGUUCCGACCUGCACGAAUGGCGUAAUGAUGGCCAGGCUGUCUCCACCCGAGACUCAGUGAAAUUGAACUCGCUGUGAAGAUGCAGUGUACCCGCGGCAAGACGGAAAGACCCCGUGAACCUUUACUAUAGCUUGACACUGAACAUUGAGCCUUGAUGUGUAGGAUAGGUGGGAGGCUUAGAAGUGUGGACGCCAGUCUGCAUGGAGCCGACCUUGAAAUACCACCCUUUAAUGUUUGAUGUUCUAACGUUGACCCGUAAUCCGGGUUGCGGACAGUGUCUGGUGGGUAGUUUGACUGGGGCGGUCUCCUCCUAAAGAGUAACGGAGGAGCACGAAGGUUGGCUAAUCCUGGUCGGACAUCAGGAGGUUAGUGCAAUGGCAUAAGCCAGCUUGACUGCGAGCGUGACGGCGCGAGCAGGUGCGAAAGCAGGUCAUAGUGAUCCGGUGGUUCUGAAUGGAAGGGCCAUCGCUCAACGGAUAAAAGGUACUCCGGGGAUAACAGGCUGAUACCGCCCAAGAGUUCAUAUCGACGGCGGUGUUUGGCACCUCGAUGUCGGCUCAUCACAUCCUGGGGCUGAAGUAGGUCCCAAGGGUAUGGCUGUUCGCCAUUUAAAGUGGUACGCGAGCUGGGUUUAGAACGUCGUGAGACAGUUCGGUCCCUAUCUGCCGUGGGCGCUGGAGAACUGAGGGGGGCUGCUCCUAGUACGAGAGGACCGGAGUGGACGCAUCACUGGUGUUCGGGUUGUCAUGCCAAUGGCACUGCCCGGUAGCUAAAUGCGGAAGAGAUAAGUGCUGAAAGCAUCUAAGCACGAAACUUGCC